rnacentral:rRNA from 1 species
CCGCACAGCGGUGGAGUAUGUGGUUUAAUUCGAUGCAACGCGAAGAACUUACCUGGUCUUGACAUCCCGGAGACCCUUAGGAACUAGGGGUGCUUCCAUCUGGAAGAAAUCUGGAGACAGGUGCUGCAUGGCUGUCGUCAGCUCGUGUCGUGAGAUGUUGGGUUAAGUCCCGCAACGAGCGCAACCCUUGCCUUUAGUUGCCAGCAGUUCGGCUGGGCACUCUAAAGGGACUGCCGGUGUUAAACCGGAGGAAGGUGGGGAUGACGUCAAGUCCUCAUGGCCUUUAUGACCAGGGCUACACACGUACUACAAUGGCCGAUACAAAGGGCAGCGACACUGCGAGGUGAAGCCAAUCCCGUAAAAUCGGUCUCAGUCCGGAUUGGAGUCUGCAACUCGACUCCAUGAAGUUGGAAUCGCUAGUAAUCGUGGAUCAGCAUGCCACGGUGAAUACGUUCCCGGGCCUU